UUUGAUCUAAAAUAUAGAGGCCAUUAAUCAAUUGUGCCGAACCAUAGAAAAUAUUAUUGAGAUAAAAGGAACAAUAAUGAUUCUUAAUUAUUAUCUCAAAACCAAUUUUGUCUAAACAAGAAAUUGAAAUAAUGUUUUUAGUCAAACUGGGCACAAAAUAACAAUCUUCUAAAAUUAAACCAAGUCCACUAGGCAAAGAUAAAGUAUAUGUUCC
rnacentral:lncRNA from 1 species